GGGCUGCAGUUCGGCGGCGGGAACGGCGGCCAGGGCGGGGCCGGUGGCUGGCUCCUCGGCAACGGCGGCGGUGGCGGCGCCGGCGGGCUG
rnacentral:tRNA from 1 species